rnacentral:rRNA from 1 species
GACGAACGCUGGCGGUGUGCUUAACACAUGCAAGUCGAACGGAAAGGCCCUUUCGGGGGUGCACGAUUGGCGAACGGGCGGGUAACACGCAAGUAACCUACCUUCAUCUCUCGGAUGACAGACGUAAGGGGUUUGGAAUUCAUACCAGGUGGGUGCUCGUGAUGCAUGGGGGUGGAAAGAUUUUUUUGGUUGGGGGUGGACUCGCGGCCUAUCAGCUUCUUGGUGAGGGAGUGGUUGACCAAGGCUUCGACGGGUAGCCGGCCUGAGAGGGGGACCGGCCACAUUGGGACUGAGAUACGGCCCAAACUCCUACGGGAGGCAGCAGUGGGGAAUAUUGCACAAUGGGCGGGAGUCUGAUGCAGCAACGCCGCGUGCGGGAUGACGGGCUUCGGGUUGGAAACCGCUUUCAAUUGUGACGAAGCUUUUUGUGACGGUAGCAGUAGAAGAAGCACCGGCUAACUACGUG